GGGUCAGUAGGCUGGUCGUGCCACCGGUACGUACUGGUCUCACCGAUUCCUCCUCCCUGAAGAACCGUAAUGCCAUUAAUUUGGUGUUGCGGGGAAACAGGACUGUUACUUUGAAAAAAUUAGAGUGUUUAAAGUAAGCUAACGCUUGAAUACAUUAGCAUGGAAUAAUGAAAUAGGACGAUCGAUCCUAUUUUGUUGGUUUCUAGGAUUGACGUA
rnacentral:rRNA from 1 species